rnacentral:lncRNA from 1 species
GGCUACCCUACCUCACCUGGAGACACUUUUCCUUGGAGGUUCCAUGAUGGAGGGCUCCUCACUGCACCUGAGCUGCUUCUUUCCUGAAUUGCAGUCACACCAGUUCUGCUUUCCUGACUGCAGAGUCACAGCAGCUGUGGUGCAGCAGAGCAUCUGAAAAGAAAAUGCUAAUGGGGGUUUUUAUAGAGUACAGUAAAAGGCUCUGAUUUAAAAAAAAAAUAAUGCUACACCUCAAUGCUACCUCUAGCCCAGACUACUGCUUCUUGAGAGUUUCCUUCUAGAGACUGCAGUAGCUAAGCAGAAUCCAUAACCUCAUGUGCCAUCUCCCUGCCUGUCAUAACCACAGGCAAAGCUGGGUUAGUAAUUUUCUUUUGAGG